AAAUAGUAGCGACGUGAGGAGGUCAUUA
rnacentral:rRNA from 1 species